rnacentral:sRNA from 1 species
AAUUUUAAGAAGAAGAAAAAAA